CGGGGCCGGCAGCGAGCGCGGGGUUCGGCCGCUCCAAGUUCGGCGGUGCCGUGGCUCGGAGGCGCUUUGGAGGCGUUGAUGGCAUCGCUGGGUUCGGUUUGCAGCGGCUGUCCGCUAAGGGAUACGGUGUUCUUCCUGAGCGGGCACGGUUCUCGGUGCCGGUAGGGAUGAUAAUGGGUGCUCAGAAAGCAUGCGUCCCUUAGAGUCCCACGGAAAGGUUCUCAGUGCGAUCUCUAUCAAGUGCUAUGAGUCUUGAUAAAUUGGAGAAGAGCCCAAGAGAAAUUUUUCAUCCCUUGAUAUAAAAGGAUUUAUUGGUUCUGGAAGAACAAGAGGGAAGUACAAGCCUAACUACUUCUAGCUCACAGGCCCGUCCAGUGAACCCAGGGACCGGUGAAUUUUAACUUUGGAGUCCCCUAUGCUAAGGAUGCUCAGCUUACAGGUGAUGAAAUGUUCAGUAAUGUAUUUGCUGCAGCUCUGCUUACCCAAGCUUUGGGUUCCUUCUGUCCCACUGGGAGUUGCCCAGUUUGGUUGCAUCUGGUGAAAUUCACCCUGAGACCUUACAGAACUAGCUCCAACUACGUGAGAGCCAUUUUCAGUUCUCUCCAGACACCUGGAGAAUGGGUGACGUUUCUGAGGAUCCGGCGAGCGUGCUUCUAUCAAAACUCAGUCUGUGAAAUUCCUGGGGAAAACCCUUCUGUGUCCUGAAGGGUUCAAACUCUGGUGAGGAUCCAGUUAUCAGGGGCUCACCUGGAUGGUUCCAGCUCCCAAAGUUAACACUUCUACUCUUGCCCUGUAGUUUACAUCUAUUGUAUUUUUGUUAUUUUGCAACAUUUUUUGUCUUUGCAAAAUAUUGUGCAUUUCACUCUUUGGAACCUCUCAGAUGGUUCUUUGGUGCAGCACCACCCCAGGGGACACUUGGCUGCUGUCCUGAAGGGUUUGGUCGCUAGAAUUGUGAAUCCUGGAGAGUUUGUGAGUCUUCUGUCCCCAGGGAGGUGUCGUGCUUUGUUUACUUUUGUUCUGUUGGUUAGGCGCUGCUUCUCGUUGCAAGUAUGAAUUUCAAACUGCCCUGUUCUUAUUUUAACUGUUUUCCUGGUUCUCUCUGUCCGGCAGGGAAAGACUCUCGUAUCCUUGUCGUCGGGCUCGGUGCUGUCCAAGAAGAUACAGAGACUAAAAAAAUCAUAAGAAGCAAAAUAUGACUGCAGGGAAAAGAAGCUGGAGAGAACAGAAGACUCAUCACGGCGGGACAGCGUGAAGACUGAAAGUGUAAGAAGAUGCGGAGGGAAAGAGAGAAUCUGACAGGAGCAGCGAACGCACGAGUGCACGAAUUUUGCUUUUUGCUUGGAUGUAAACUCAGGAGUUGAAAGGAAUUUGGGAGUGAGAAGGGACAUUUCAGAAGGAGAAGAAGAAAAAGAAGUUGUUGCUACAGUCCUGGCAAAAGCUUUUGUUCUAGCUAAUAAAAGAAGUUAGUUUAAAAAACAAAAAGGAAAAAAUGUAGUGUUUUUUUUUUCCUUCACUAUGAUAUUCAUUGGUGGUAUAUGGUGUGUUGUUUUAUUUCUUGGUAUUAUUAACUCUGUGUAAAUUGUUUUUUGAGUGAAGCUGACUUUCUGGAUGGGUUGGUUUGUAUUUGAGGCAGGAUUAAUUUCAGUAGGGUUCUUUCAUAGAUUUCUGAUGGGUAUUACUGGGAUUUUGGUUUUGUUUACUGUAUGUAUGAACCUAGAGCUUUGGUAGGGCCAGCUGGGCUGCUGGAGUUUUGGGUGUGAAUUUAUUAGAUGGCUUUUGUUAGAUGCAGUUUUUAAUUUUUGAAAUGUUUUUCAAUGUAGUGGUUUUAAGGUGGUUUUUAAGAAUUCAUUGUAUUGCUUUAUCUUGUUUGUAGUUGGUGUAUGAUAAGGGAUGUGGUGUGAGUUCUUGAACAUUAUGGUUUUGGUGUUCCUAAGUUCUGAUUUCUUUGUGGUUCAAUAUUUUUUUUUAUUUUUAUUUUUUGGGACAGGGGCAUUUAUAUGGUGGGUUUUUAUAGGCAAUAUGUUUUUUAAUUUAGGUAGUGAUAUUUUUUAAUA